rnacentral:misc_RNA from 1 species
AAGAUGGAGUCCUUGAACUUAAACAGUAUCAGGGCUCUUGUAUUUUCUUCUUCUCCAGUAGUAUCAGUUGUGGCUAGGAUAUAUGAUUCAAGACCUGGAAAUCUCGUUACAGUGUUGGAGACUCCUAUGAGAAGAAAUGACGAUUCUACAUCUAGGGGGAACCUUUACACAUGUCCAUGGAACUUUAAUGCCUUUGAAGAUCCAUCUCCUGAUAGAUUUUUGUUGCAAAUAGAAGCAGUUGAUAUCGAAGGCAGAUCAACUUUGACUGAACUAAGGCCAUUUUCUGUUGGCGGUCUUCGUGCUAGGCUUUCA